AUUGGAUCCCUGAUACCCCUGAUAGCAUUCCUGCAAACGCGUCACACCGUGUCGGCGUUGGUGCUUUUGUUGUCAAUAACAAGAGAGAGGUGCUUGUGGUUCAGGAAACCAGUGGUAGAUUUGGAGGCACAGGUGUAUGGAAGAUGCCUACAGGAGCUGUGAAUGAAGUAUACGUCGAAAUGAUUAUUGAUCAAAUUAUGAAAAUGGAAAUUCAAUCUUUUGAGUUUUGACAUGUUUUAAUUCUAUUUGCAGGGUGAAGAUAUUUGUGAUGCUGUAAUUAGAGAAGUGAAGGAAGAGACAGGGGUUGAAACAAAGGCACAUAUGGUACUUGUUGCAUUCUCAAGUUCGUUAAACAGUCAGGACAGCUGCUCCUUUGCAGGAACUGGCAUCCAAACAUGUGAUGGCAGCAAUGGUGGAGAUAAUUUGUCAGCAUCAAGCCUCUGAAGCAUCUGACAUACCUUAUAAUCCCAAAGCUGUUAGAAAACACUGAUGACUAAUACUAGGUCACAAGGCAUGGAAAAUGGUGCUGCUGUCACUUCCAACUUGACAGGAACACAGCAGGAUGUAGAUCUAUCACACUUCCUUCUAAUUGAGAAGAGUUCCCGGCAUGCUGAAUUGCAAUAUAUUCACUUACUUGCUGCUGGCUCAUGAGUCAUGACUUGGUUUCAGGAUGGGAUAUGGCUACUUACAUUGAGGCAAUUGAUUCCCAAUUCUUCUUGCUAAAAGGUAGCAUUUUGGACUUGUUAGUGAGUUCAAUCGAAGUUUUGACCUGAAGUUUGCAUUCUGAGUCUGAUUCUCCUCCCUGUAACCUGUGGUUUAAGGUUCAACCUGAAGUCAUCGUAGUAAAUUCAAUCAAAGAUUUGAGCUGAAGUUAUCCUAUUAAGAAUUGCUUUGAAUCUCUAUUGUUUAUGAUACAUUCUAUAAUUAGGCUAUUAGGCUGUAUUUUAGUGAUUUGGUUUUGAUUAACUUAUUUAGAUUAUUGUAAAAUAAUUUUUUUAAUAGAAAUUUGUGUAACAAUUGUCAUAGAGUUUAA